GACAGAGGGUGCAAACGUUGUUCGGAAUUACUGGGCGUAAAGCGCGUGUAGGCGGCUCGGCAAGUCGGAUGUGAAAGCCCUGGGCUUAACCCAGGAAGUGCACUCGAAACUGCCGAGCUUGAGUUCUGGAGAGGAAGGCGGAAUUCUCGGUGUAGAGGUGAAAUUCGUAGAUAUCGAGAGGAACACCGGUGGCGAAGGCGGCUUUCUGGACAGUGACUGACGCUGAGACGCGAAAGCGUGGGGAGCAAACAGG
rnacentral:rRNA from 1 species